AAAAAGGCAGACCCUAAAUUUAUGUGUCCAACUUUUGAUUGUCUAUUUUAUAUGAAUUUUUUUUAUAAUUUGUAUUUUUAUUGUUGUUAGACGAUAAAACAUUAUUAAUAUUUUAUGUGUGACUUGUCUUUUUAAUUUUUUUAUAAUUUUUUUAAAUAAGACGGACGGUCAAAAGUUGGACACAGAAACCAGGGUUUGUCUUUUU
rfam:Oryza barthii chromosome 3, whole genome shotgun sequence.